GGGGAUAGCUUAGUUGGUAGAGCGUGAGACUCCUAUUAAUCUCAGGGCUGUGGGUUCGUGCCCCACGUUCGGCCA